GAGCGGGGCUCUGGUACCACCCCGCCCUCCAACCGGGGAAAGCACGCUGGGAAACCGACACUGGCUUUGCAUCUGACUUGCUGUUGACCUUGGACCCUCUCGGAUCUGUUUCCUCGUUAGUAAAGUACGGAGAUCAUAACAGUACUAACCUCCAGAAUGAAUGCGUGCUGGCCAAAACCGCUACGCGGAUCUUCCCAACCCAGGGACAGAACCCAGGUCUCCUGCAUUGCGGGCAGAUUCUUUACUCUCUGAGCCAGAAUACUGACGGUGACCAGAGCGGUGCAGACGUCAGAUUUGGAAUCCAGCCGCCCGAGUUCCCAUCUCAGUGGCCUUGGCAGGUCACACUGUUUUUUCCCCGGCCUCAGUUUCCUCAUUUGUGAAUUGGGGCUGCUGUUAGCAGCGCCUACUGCC
ensembl:lncRNA